UACGUAGGGGGGCAAGCGUUGUCCGGAAUCAUUGGGCGUAAAGCGCGUGUAGGCGGCCCGGUAAGUCCGCUGUGAAAGUCGGGGGCUCAACCCUCGGAUGCCGGUGGAUACUGUCGGGCUAGAGUGCGGGAGAGGCGAGUGGAAUUCCUGGUGUAGCGGUGAAAUGACGCAGAUAUCUGGAGGAACACCGGUGGCGAAGGCGGCAUCCUGGACCGGCAUUGACGCUGAGGCGCGAAAGCCAGGGGAGCAAAGCGGGG
rnacentral:rRNA from 1 species